CGCGAGUCUUUAAGAAGGAAGGUUCCGUAAGAGACUAAGAGUCGGCCGCCGUGGACUCCCACCAGAGGCACCGGGAGUGCAUGAGCUCAGCCAAUGAAUGAAACUCCACGUGAUCAAAUUGUGAAACUGCGUGCGCGGCAAUAAUUAACCAUGGUUUUAGUCAAAUGCUUAUCAAUACCCACAGUCCCUCCUCAUUUUUAGUGCAGUGGCGAAGGAAGGAAGCAGUCACUCAGUGCACCGAGUCGUCUCACAGGAAUAUUGCAGGAGUUUUCAAGAGAGAGAGAUGGCUGAGGCAGACAUGGGUAGCAAAGAAAGCAGAUGGAGUCUUCAAGGAAAGACAGCUCUUGUCACGGGCGGAACAAAAGGAAUAGGGUUAGCUCUCUUUGCCUUCUCUUGCUAUCUUCAAAGUAAUUUGUCAUAGAGAUCUAUAAAAGUCAUCAAUCCAUCAUGCGCAAUAAGAACUUCUCUCUGUUUUUUUCUUUUCUUUUCUUUUUUUUCUUAAUACAAUAGUCGUUAUUUUGUGUCAAAUUUUCUGAUGAAUUUUAUGUUGGUAUAGAUUUAGGAUUGCUAGCUUCGUUCUUAACCUUCAUGAGUGCCUGCAUGUAAUUAAACUCUACGAUAAAAUUUUUCAUUAAAUUAGAGGUAUACUUUUCCAACAUAUCCACACUGGACCGGGAUCCUCGAUCUCCAUUUCAACUAGGGGAUCCAAAUUCAUCCGCACCAAGGGGUCUCAAGGCGAGCUAAUUACACUAACAACGACAUCAGUUCAGAUAUUAGCCUAUAAGAGCAUUUUCAACCUCUUAUCUAAAGCUUUUAUGAGCCAAAACUCAACCCCAACAUAUUAUCUAUUGGAAUAUACAUAAAAUAUUAUAUAUUUUUCGUUUAUUUCAUAUUUGUUGAUAUUGUAAUAUUCUCUAUUUAUGAAUUGAUUAAGAUUUAAUUACCAUACUUGUAUUUACUCUAUACCCUAUAAAUAAGAACCUUUGUAUUAUAGACAAAAAAAUGAAUGAACACAAUGUAAUCCUAAGUGCCAUUUAAAGUGAUGAACGUAGGUGUUCAUCACGGAACCAUACGUAAUUCUUUGUGUAUCUUUCUCUCCAUGCUUCCUCUAUUAUUUUCCUAUUUUAUAUUUUUCGUAUAUUCUAACAUUAACCAUCCAGUUAUUUAAACCAUAAUUUUGCUACAGUGAAAAGCAAAAGAUAAAUUAUCACAUUCAUAAAAUGUUAGCUUCUCUCGCUGUCGCUUGCCCUCUUUGUUUUCUUGGUCAACAAAUCGUCUUCGUCUUUCAUGGGAGCCAUUGUGAUCUCUCUCUCUCUCUCUUUCUCACCCAUCAUCGUUGUCUUCCAUGGAGCCACAGUCACCGCAAGCCAAUCGUCUUCCAUGAGAGCUAUCGUCAUCUCUCUCCUAUCGUCAGAUCACGGUGGUAGAUGCCCUAACUAUGGUAGAAAUCAACAAUUGAGAAGAGCUGCACACCGUUUUUUGGUUUUAGUCCUAAUUCUAGUUUUUAAUCUAUUUUUUAUAAUCUUUUUGGGAUUUUAGUUCAAUUUCAAAAACUUGUGUUGGAAAUUUUUAGACUUGGUCAUGGCGCUCCUGGGAGACAGGGAAUGAGAUGGGGUUUGGACCUUUUUUUUUUUUUUUUUUUCCUAAGAGAAUACAUCUUAUUUUAUAUGCUUUAGGAUGCAUGUGAUAGUGUUAUUUCCACACUUUUUAUGCAUAGCUCUCAUGUGUGUUAUUAAAUUUUAAUUUUAAUUCAAAAUCAAUGAUAAGAUGAAAAAUGUGCAUAACAAAUGUAGAGAGACAUGCAUGCUACUUCUCCAUUUACUAUUAAUCUUUUUCUCAAACCAACCAUUGAAUCUACUGGGUUUUAGAGAUCCAAUCGUUGC
rnacentral:lncRNA from 1 species